AGCACAAUCAACAAGCCAGGGUCUGGGCCGGGUGUGGGGAUUCAGUAAGAAGCAAGACUGGCUUGGUCCUUCAGGACACAGACGGUUCAGGGGACAAGUACUUACAACUGCAAUGAAUGUUGUGAGUGGACAAAAAGAAGCCCCGCCAUCCCUUGAGGCUACUCCAGCAGUGUAGUUUAGAGGAUCAGGGACUCUGAGACCACCAGGGUGUCCAUUGCUGAAGAAAUGCAUGAGAAGAAUGUGGUGAAUUCUCACCAUGAAAAAACAUUGUGCAUGGUUAUAAGCAACUAUUACAGACUAUUGAAUAUACUUUGGUGCUAAGAGAAGAAAGAAGAAGAAGAAAAAAAAAAAAGACUGAGAGCUACAGCACGGAAUUAGUCAUGUUAAUUAAAAGCAUAUAUACACAGAAUA